rnacentral:rRNA from 1 species
UGGGGAAUAUUGCGCAAUGGGGGGAACCCUGACGCAGCCAUGCCGCGUGAAUGAAGAAGGCCUUCGGGUUGUAAAGUUCUUUCGGUAUUGAGGAAGGUUGAUGUGUUAAUAGCACAUCAAAUUGACGUUAAAUACAGAAGAAGCACCGGCUAACUCCGUGCCAGCAGCCGCGGUAAUACGGAGGGUGCGAGCGUUAAUCGGAAUAACUGGGCGUAAAGGGCACGCAGGCGGUUAUUUAAGUGAGGUGUGAAAGCCCCGGGCUUAACCUGGGAAUUGCAUUUCAGACUGGGUAACUAGAGUACUUUAGGGAGGGGUAGAAUUCCACGUGUAGCGAUGAAAUGCGUAGAGAUGUGGAGGAAUACCGAAGGCGAAGGCAGCCCCUUGGGAAUGUACUGACGCUCAUGUGCGAAAGCGUGGGGAGCAAACAGGAUUAGAUACCCUGGUAGUCCACGCUGUAAACGCUGUCGAUUUGGGGGUUGGGGUUUAACUCUGGCGCCCGUAGCUAACGUGAUAAAUCGACCGCCUGGGGAGUACGGCCGCAAGGUUA